rnacentral:rRNA from 1 species
AUUGAACGCUGGCGGCAUGCCUUACACAUGCAAGUCGAACGGUAACAGGUCUUCGGAUGCUGACGAGUGGCGAACGGGUGAGUAAUACAUCGGAACGUGCCUAGUAGUGGGGGAUAACUACUCGAAAGAGUGGCUAAUACCGCAUGAGAUCUACGGAUGAAAGCAGGGGAUCGCAAGACCUUGUGCUACUAGAGCGGCCGAUGGCAGAUUAGGUAGUUGGUGGGAUAAAAGCUUACCAAGCCGACGAUCUGUAGCUGGUCUGAGAGGACGAUCAGACACACUGGGACUGGGAAACGGCCAAGACUCCUACGGGAGGCAGCAGUGGGGAAUUUUGGACAAUGGGCGCAAGCCUGAUCCAGCAAUGCCGCGUGCAGGAUAAAGGCCUUCGGGUUGUAAACUGCUUUUGUACGGAACGAAAAGCCCCGGGUUAAUACCCUGGGGUCAUGACGGUACCGUAAGAAUAAGCACCGGCUAACUACGUGCCAGCCGCCGCCGUAA